UCAAUAAGCGGAGGAAAAGAAACCAACAGGGAUUGCCUCAGUAACGGCGAGUGAAGCGGCAACAGCUCAAAUUUGAAAUCUGGCGUCCGCCCGAGUUGUAAUUUGCAGAGGAUGCUUCGGGGCCGCGGCCGAUCUAAGUCCUUUGGAACAGGGCGUCAUAGAGGGUGAGAAUCCCGUAUGUGACCGGCUGGCACCCCACACGUAGCUCCUUCGACGAGUCGAGUUGUUUGGGAAUGCAGCUCUAAAUGGGAGGUAAAUUUCUUCUAAAGCUAAAUACCGGCCAGAGACCGAUAGCGCACAAGUAGAGUGAUCGAAAGAUGAAAAGCACUUUGGAAAGAGAGUCAAACAGCACGUGAAAUUGUUGAAAGGGAAGCGCAUGCAACCAGACUUGUCGGCGGUGUUCCCCCGGUCUUCUGACCGGGUCACUCGCCGCCGGCAGGCCAGCAUCGUUUGCGACCGCCGGAGAAAGGCGCGGGGAAUGUGGCUCCUCGGAGUGUUAUAGCCCCGCGCACAAUACGGUGCGUCGCGAGCGAGGUCCGCGCUUCGGCUAGGAUGCUGGCGUAAUGGUCGUAUGCGGCCCGUCUUGAAACACGGACCAAGGAGUCUACCAUCUAUGCGAGUGUUCGGGUGUCAAACCCCUACGCGCAAUGAAAGUGAACGGAGGUGGGAACGCAAGUGCACCAUCGACCGAUCCUGAUGUCUUCGGAUGGAUUUGAGUAAGAGCAUAGCUGGUGGGACCCGAAAGAUGGUGAUCUUUACUUGAAUAGGGUGAAGCCAGAGGAAACUCUGGUGGAGGCUCGCAGCGGUUCUGACGUGCAAAUCGAUCGUCAAAUUUGGGUAAAGGGGCGAAAGACUAAUCGAACCAUCUAGUAGCUGGUUCU
rnacentral:rRNA from 1 species